UUUUUUUUUGGUUUUGUUG
rnacentral:sRNA from 1 species